GGGGAAGUAGCUCAGUGGUAGAGCGCCCGCUUUGCAUCAUCUCGAUCAAAUUGCGGGAGGCCCAGGUUUCGAUCACCUGCCUCUCCA